rnacentral:rRNA from 1 species
CCAAUAGCGUAUAUUAAAGUUGUUGCAGUUAAAAAGCUCGUAGUUGAAUUUCGGAAUCAAUAUGUUGGUCGUGCCUUGGUACGUACUGGCAUUAUUGGUUUCUACCUUCUGAAGAACCUCGAUGUCAUUAAUUUGGUGUCUUGGGGAAUCAGGACUGUUACUUUGAAAAAAUUAGAGUGUUUAAAGCAGGCUCACGCUUGAAUACAUUAGCAUGGAAUAAUGAAAUAGGACGUUUGAUUCUAUUUUGUUGGUUUCUAGGAUUGACGUAAUGAUUAAUAGGGAUAGUUGGGGGCAUUAGUAUUCAAUUGUCAGAGGUGAAAUUCUUGGAUUUAUUGAAGACUAACUACUGCGAAAGCAUUUGCCAAGGAUGUUUUCAUUAAUCAAGAACGAAAGUUAGGGGAUCGAAGACGAUCAGAUACCGUCGUAGUCUUAACCGUAAACUAUGCCGACUAGGGAUCGGAUGAUGUUAAUUUUUUAAUGACUCAUUCGGCGCCUCACG